rnacentral:rRNA from 1 species
CAGUCGCCGCGGUAAUACGUAGGGUGCGAGCGUUAAUCGGAAUUACUGGGCGUAAAGCGUGCGCAGGCGGUUGUGUAAGACAGGUGUGAAAUCCCCGGGCUUAACCUGGGAACUGCGCUUGUGACUGCACAGCUAGAGUAUGGCAGAGGGGGGCGGAAUUCCACGUGUAGCGGUGAAAUGCGUAGAGAUGUGGAGGAACACCGAUGGCGAAGGCAGCCCCCUGGGCCAAUACUGACGCUCAUGCACGAAAGCGUGGGGAGCAAACAGGAUUAGAUACCCGGGUAGUCCCUGUCUCUUAUAA